GAGUUUGAUCCUGGCUCAGGACGAACGCUGGCGGCGUGCCUAACACAUGCAAGUCGAACGAGAAUCUACUUAUGAAAUUUUCGGAUGGAUUAGGUAGAGGAAAGUGGCGAACGGGUGAGUAACGCGUGAGCAAUCUGCCUUGUACUGGGGGAUAACGUCGGGAAACCGGCGCUAAUACCGCAUAAUACUAUGAGAUCGCAUGGUCAUAUAGUCAAAACUCCGGUGGUACAAGAUGAGCUCGCGUCCAAUUAGCUAGUUGGUGGGGUAAUGGCCCACCAAGGCGACGAUUGGUAGCCGAACUGAGAGGUUGAUCGGCCACAUUGGGACUGAGACACGGCCCAGACUCCUACGGGAGGCAGCAGUGGGGAAUAUUGCGCAAUGGGGGGAACCCUGACGCAGCAACGCCGCGUGAAGGAAGAAGGCCUUCGGGUUGUAAACUUCUUUGAUUGGGGACGAAUAAUGACGGUACCCAAAAAACAAGCCACGGCUAACUACGUGCCAGCAGCCGCGGUAAUACGUAGGUGGCGAGCGUUGUCCGGAAUUACUGGGUGUAAAGGGCGUGUAGGCGGGGGAGCAAGUCAGAUGUGAAAUCCCGGGGCUCAACUCCGGAGUUGCAUCUGAAACUGUUUUUCUUGAGUGCUGGAGAGGAAAGCGGAAUUCCUAGUGUAGCGGUGAAAUGCGUAGAUAUUAGGAGGAACACCAGUGGCGAAGGCGACUUACUGGACUGUAACUGACGCUGAGUCACGAAAGCGUGGGUAGCAAACAGGAUUAGAUACCCUGGUAGUCCACGCUGUAAACGAUGAGUGCUAGGUGUUGGGUAGCGAUAUUCAGUGCCGCAGCAAACGCAAUAAGCACUCCGCCUGGGGAGUACGGUCGCAAGACUAAAACUCAAAGGAAUUGACGGGGACCCGCACAAGCAGCGGAGCAUGUGGUUUAAUUCGAAGCAACGCGAAGAACCUUACCAAGGCUUGACAUCCCCUUGACAGGUGCAGAGAUGCACCCUCUCCUUCGGGAGCAAGGGUGACAGGUGGUGCAUGGUUGUCGUCAGCUCGUGUCGUGAGAUGUUGGGUUAAGUCCCGCAACGAGCGCAACCCUUAUCCUUAGUUGCCAGCAGGUUAAGCUGGGCACUCUAAGGAGACUGCCGGUGACAAAUCGGAGGAAGGUGGGGAUGACGUCAAAUCAUCAUGCCCCUUAUGUCCUGGGCUACACACGUACUACAAUGGCGAUUACAGAGGGCAGCGAAACCGCGAGGUGGAGCAAAUCCCUAAAGGUCGCCCCAGUUCAGAUUGCAGGCUGAAACUCGCCUGCAUGAAGUAGGAAUUGCUAGUAAUGGCAGGUCAGCAUACUGCCGUGAAUACGUUCCCGGGCCUUGUACACACCGCCCGUCACACCAUGAGAGUUGACAACACCCGAAGUCAGUAGCUUAACCGCAAGGAGAGCGCUGCCGAAGGUGGGGUUGAUGAUUAGGGUGAAGUCGUAACAAGGUAGCCG
rnacentral:rRNA from 1 species